rnacentral:lncRNA from 1 species
GUCAUAGAAACCACUCCCUGGGGCUUGGCAAAGCAGGAGCCCUCCGUGGCAGGGCUUCGGUGUCGGGGCUCCGAGGCUCCGGCCUGACUUCUCCACGGGGUCCACAGGAGCGUCUCCGGAUGCCAGGACCUGAAAUGGGCCGACCAGGAUGAGGAAACCACAGGCAGAGGCCGGGGAAGCAGCGCGGCAUCCCAUCCUCAGGCCUGCCCGGACGGUGUUCGGAAUCAUCUCCCCUGCCCCACAAACAUGAAAGAAAAGACAAGAGAAGCACCCCAGAAGAGGAGGGGAGAAGUGCCCCAGAAAAAAUCAUCCAGUCUCUGAAGCUUUGCCCAGGGCACCACUCGCCCCUGAUCCAUCUUGGUUUCCCGCACAAGGCAGCAGGAUUGCCCAUGAAUGAACAUGGGUGAAAUCGUUGGAUACAGAUUUGAUGUUUUGCCAUUUUAAAGAAUACUAGACAAGAGGAUCUCAAUCUGGAUCACUAUAUUGGGCUCCUAAUAUCCUGAUAUAAUUUUAAAUCAUCCCAAACAACGCAUUAUUACCAUAUACAUCAGCAUUUCCCAAACUGUGCUAUAAGCUAUGUAUACUAUUGAUAUUUUUGAGCUAAAAUAUACUUAUAAAUACAUAAAAAUAUAUUUAUCUAGGUGGUGUUAUGCAAUAAUGCACUUUUCAAAAAGAAAUGAUAUACCAGUCUCAAGAAUACCCGGAAGCUGCAUGAAAAUUCUUGAUUCCUUUUAUAUAUAGUGACAGAAAAAGAUGUAAAUAUAACAAUUGGUUAUUUUUAUUGUAUAAAGUUUUUUCUAUAAGCA